rnacentral:rRNA from 1 species
GUGUCAGCAGCCGCGGUAAUACGUAUGGUGCGAACGUUGUUCGGAAUCACUGGGCAUAAAGAGCACGUAGGCGGUUGAGCAAGUCCAUUGUGAAAUCCCCCGGCCCAACCGGGGAACUGCAGUGGAUACUACUUGACUUGAGUGCAGGAGGGGAGAGUGGAAUUCCAGGUGGAGCGGUGAAAUGCGUAGAUAUCUGGAGGAACACCGGUGGCGAAAGCGACUCUCUGGUCUGUAACUGACGCUGAGGUGCGAAAGCUAGGGGAGCAAACGGGAUUAGAAACCCCAGUAGUCC